rnacentral:lncRNA from 1 species
AUUCGUACCUACUUCCGUAUCUAAAUUCUAAUUUCGGGAAGAAAUUCCCUUCAACAGGGGGAUGAUGUGACAACCCGAAAUUUCCAUUCUGAACAAACCAUAUCAAGCCAAUAGAAGUAGAACAGUUACAGUGAAAAUCCAGACUUCGAGUAUAAGUUUGGCAGUUUUCAGGAUUUACACCUAAGGAGAUAUUAAGAGAGUGGAUGCACUAGGGUUUUGUGCAACACUUUAUUCCAAUACUUUAGGAUAUUAGAGUUCAUUCCGGGAAUAAAAAUAUUUUUUGCCAAAAAUCCCAGGACUAUAUAUAGAAAACUGAACCAAAUAGUUCAUUACUUACAUUUCCAUUUAGAGAAAAGCCAAAAUUCUCUCUCACGGAUUUUUGGG